GACGAACGCUGGCGGCGUGCUUAACACAUGCAAGUCGAACGGAAAGGCCCUGCUUUUGUGGGGUGCUCGAGUGGCGAACGGGUGAGUAACACGUGAGUAACCUGCCCUUGACUUUGGGAUAACUUCAGGAAACUGGGGCUAAUACCGGAUAGGAGCUCCUGCUGCAUGGUGGGGGUUGGAAAGUUUCGGCGGUUGGGGAUGGACUCGCGGGUUAUCAGCUUGUUGGUGGGGUAGUGGCUUACCAAGGCUUUGACGGGUAGCCGGCCUGAGAGGGUGACCGGCCACAUUGGGACUGAGAUACGGCCCAGAAUCCUACGGGAGGCAGCAGUGGGGAAUAUUGCACAAUGGGCGGAAGCCUGAUGCAGCAACGCCGCGUGCGGGAUGACGGCCUUCGGGUUGUAAACCGCUUUCGCCUGUGACGAAGCGUGAGUGACGGUAAUGGGUAAAGAAGCACCGGCUAACUACGUG
rnacentral:rRNA from 1 species